rnacentral:rRNA from 1 species
GUAGGCGGUUCGUUAAGUUAGAUGUGAAAGCCCCGGGCUUAACCUGGGAACUGCAUUUAAAACUGGCGAACUAGAGUUGAGUAGAGGGGAGUGGAAUUUCAGGUGUAGCGGUGAAAUGCGUAGAGAUCUGAAGGAACACCAGUGGCGAAGGCGACUCCCUGGACUUGAACUGACGCUGAGGUACGAAAGCGUGGGUAGCAAACGGGAUUAGAUACCCCGGUAGUCCACGCCGUAAACGAUGUCAACUAACUGUUGGGACCUUAAAGGUCUUAGUGGUGGAGCUAACGUAUUAAGUUGACCGCCUGGGGAGUACGGUCGCAAGGCUAAAACUCAAAUGAAUUGACGGGGGCCCGCACAAGCGGUGGAGCAUGUGG